rnacentral:snoRNA from 8 species
UACUGUUGGUGAUGAUUUUUAUAAUAAAACAGAUGGGAAUCUCUCUGAAAAAGAAUGAAGUUUUUAAAAACUGAAACAGUA